CUUGAACCCUAUAAGAGGUCCAGCCUGCCCAGUGAAACAAUUCAACGGCCGCGGUAUCCUAACCGUGCGAAGGUAGCGUAAUCACUUGUCCUCUAAAUUAGGACUAGUAUGAACGGCAUCACGAGGGUUAUACUGUCUCCUUUUUCCAAUUAGUGAAUUUAAUUUUCCCGUGAAGAAGCGGGAAUAAGCCUAUAAGACGAGAAGACCCUAUGGAGCUUUAAACAAUCUAGCAUUUGCCUAUAUUCUUCAUGUUUCAGAACUCUCUAGACCUCCUACAUAAUGACUAGAAGUUUUAGGUUGGGGUGACCGCGGAGUAAAACCCAUCCUCCAUAAUGAAAGAAUUUUAAUUCUUAACCAAGAAAUACCUAUCUAAGUAUUAACACACUGACAUUUAUUGACCCAAUACAAUUGAUCAACGAAC
rnacentral:rRNA from 2 species